rnacentral:rRNA from 1 species
AUUGAACGCUGGCGGCAGGCCUAACACAUGCAAGUCGAACGAGUGGCGGACGGGUGAGUAAUGUCUGGGAAACUGCCUGAUGGAGGGGGAUAACUACUGGAAACGGUAGCUAAUACCGCAUACCAUCAGAUGUGCCAAGAUGGGAUGAGCUAGUAGGUGUGGUAAUGGCUCACAUCGGCUACGAUCCCUAGCUGGUCUGAGAGGAUGACAAGCCACACGGGAACGAAGACCAGGUCCAGACUCCUACGGGAGGCAGCAGUGGGGAAUAUUGCACAAUGGGCGAAAGCCUGAUGCAGCCAUGCCGCGUGUGUGAAGAAGGCCUUCGGGUUGUAAAGCACUUUCAGCGAGGAGGCGUUACUCGCAGAAGAAGCACCGGCUAAAUCCGUGCCAGCAGCCGCGGUAAUAC